rnacentral:rRNA from 1 species
UACGGAGGGGGCUAGCGUUGUUCGGAAUUACUGGGCGUAAAGGGCGCGUAGGCGGCCUGUUAAGUCGGAUGUGAAAUCCCUCGGCUCAACCGAGGAACUGCCUCCGAUACUGGCGGGCUGGAAUCCGGGAGAGGGAUGUGGAAUUCCAGGUGUAGCGGUGAAAUGCGUAGAUAUCUGGAGGAACACCGGUGGCGAAGGCGGCAUCCUGGACCGGUAUUGACGCUGAGGCGCGAAAGCCAGGGGAGCAAACGGG